UACGGGGGGGGCAAGCGUUGUUCGGAAUUACUGGGCGUAAAGGGCUCGUAGGCGGCCAACUAAGUCGGAUGUGAAAUCCCCAGGCUCAACUUGGGAACUGCAUCCGAUACUGGAUGGCUUGAAUUCGGGAGAGGGAUGCAGAAUUCCAGGUGUAGCGGUGAAAUGCGUAGAUAUCGGGAGGAACACCAGUGGCGAAGGCGGGCAUCUGGGCCAACACUGACGCUGAGGCGCGAAAGCUAGGGGAGCAAACAGG
rnacentral:rRNA from 1 species